rnacentral:rRNA from 1 species
GGAAUAUUGGUCAAUGGAUGGAAGUCUGAACCAGCCAUGCCGCGUGCAGGAAGACGGCCUUCUGGGUUGUAAACUGCUUUUGCCAGGGGCUAAAAAGCUCAUGCGUGAGAAAUUGAAAGUACCUGGUGAAUAAGCCACGGCUAACUACGUGCCAGCAGCCGCGGUAAUACGUAGGUGGCAAGCGUUGUCCGGAUUUAUUGGGUUUAAAGGGUGCGUAGGCGGCUUUGUAAGUCAGGAGUGAAAGUUUGCGGCUCAACCGUAAAAUUGCUUUUGAUACUGCAAGGCUAGAAUCAGGAUGAGGUCAGCGGAAUGUGGCAUGUAGCGGUGAAAUGCAUAGAUAUGCCAUAGAACACCAAUUGCGAAGGCAGCUGGCUAGACCUGUAUUGACGCUGAGGCACGAAAGCGUGGGGAGCGAA